rnacentral:pre_miRNA from 1 species
UGGAAGUUGAGGUAGGCUCAGUAGAUGCGAUCGUUAAUGAGCCUUUCCGGCGUUAUCACAUCCACUUGCCUUCCUCGCCUUUCU